GAUGAACGCUGGCGGCGUGCCUAAUACAUGCAAGUCGAGCGAACGGACGAGAAGCUUGCUUCUCUGAUGUUAGCGGCGGACGGGUGAGUAACACGUGGAUAACCUACCUAUAAGACUGGGAUAACUUCGGGAAACCGGAGCUAAUACCGGAUAAUAUUUUGAACCGCAUGGUUCAAAAGUGAAAGACGGUCUUGCUGUCACUUAUAGAUGGAUCCGCGCUGCAUUAGCUAGUUGGUAAGGUAACGGCUUACCAAGGCAACGAUGCAUAGCCGACCUGAGAGGGUGAUCGGCCACACUGGAACUGAGACACGGUCCAGACUCCUACGGGAGGCAGCAGUAGGGAAUCUUCCGCAAUGGGCGAAAGCCUGACGGAGCAACGCCGCGUGAGUGAUGAAGGUCUUCGGAUCGUAAAACUCUGUUAUUAGGGAAGAACAUAUGUGUAAGUAACUGUGCACAUCUUGACGGUACCUAAUCAGAAAGCCACGGCUAACUACGUGCCAGCAGCCGCGGUAAUACGUAGGUGGCAAGCGUUAUCCGGAAUUAUUGGGCGUAAAGCGCGCGUAGGCGGUUUUUUAAGUCUGAUGUGAAAGCCCACGGCUCAACCGUGGAGGGUCAUUGGAAACUGGAAAACUUGAGUGCAGAAGAGGAAAGUGGAAUUCCAUGUGUAGCGGUGAAAUGCGCAGAGAUAUGGAGGAACACCAGUGGCGAAGGCGACUUUCUGGUCUGUAACUGACGCUGAUGUGCGAAAGCGUGGGGAUCAAACAGGAUUAGAUACCCUGGUAGUCCACGCCGUAAACGAUGAGUGCUAAGUGUUAGGGGGUUUCCGCCCCUUAGUGCUGCAGCUAACGCAUUAAGCACUCCGCCUGGGGAGUACGACCGCAAGGUUGAAACUCAAAGGAAUUGACGGGGACCCGCACAAGCGGUGGAGCAUGUGGUUUAAUUCGAAGCAACGCGAAGAACCUUACCAAAUCUUGACAUCCUUUGACAACUCUAGAGAUAGAGCUUUCCCCUUCGGGGGACAAAGUGACAGGUGGUGCAUGGUUGUCGUCAGCUCGUGUCGUGAGAUGUUGGGUUAAGUCCCGCAACGAGCGCAACCCUUAAGCUUAGUUGCCAUCAUUAAGUUGGGCACUCUAAGUUGACUGCCGGUGACAAACCGGAGGAAGGUGGGGAUGACGUCAAAUCAUCAUGCCCCUUAUGAUUUGGGCUACACACGUGCUACAAUGGACAAUACAAAGGGCAGCGAAACCGCGAGGUCAAGCAAAUCCCAUAAAGUUGUUCUCAGUUCGGAUUGUAGUCUGCAACUCGACUACAUGAAGCUGGAAUCGCUAGUAAUCGUAGAUCAGCAUGCUACGGUGAAUACGUUCCCGGGUCC
rnacentral:rRNA from 1 species